UUUUUUGGAUAGUUGCGACGAUGAGGCCGAUUUUCGUGGGAAACUUUGAGUACGAUACUCGCCAAUCUGAACUGGAACGCUUGUUCGGAAAGUACGGGAAGAUUGAGCGCGUCGACAUGAAAUCUGGAACAUCUGCUAAUGGAAAAUGAGCUGAGCUUCUAUCUGGGCUCGCCAUCUGUGCAAAAUACUUAUUUUGGAAAGGAAACCAACUUGCUUGCCUGAUCUCCUUCCACCCCACUGAUAGCAUCAUCCUGCACUUUCUACACUCCGAUCAAUCCUUCACUCAUGACUCACCCACUUCAUCGCAUGCCAUUUCACAAGAAUUUACAUAGUGGAAUCAGUCAAUUUAUUAUGCCUUGCCUACCAACAAUGAUCAUAGGGGAUCAAUGAUAUCUGCAUGCCAUGCCAACAACUGAAUGUAGUGGGAUGAAUGAAUUCUGUCAUGCUAUGCCUUCCAUUACUGAAUUCGUGCUUUCUGAAUGGUGAAGCAUGCGCAGAGACAUCUCAGACCUGAAAUUUUGGAUUAGAACUUUUUACAUGCAACAAUCAUUAGUUCAUCAUGCAACACCUCUACGGCCUUAUGUUCAUCAGCCCCUCACUUAUAUGCAGGCUUUGCUUUCGUUUAUUUUGUGGAUGAGCGUGAUGCUGAAGAAGCUAUUCGUGCCGUUGAUAAUAGGCCGUUUGGUUAUGACAGGCGUAGGCUGUCAGUGGAGUGGGCAAGGGGUGAACGAGGUCGGCCUCGUGAUGGAUCUAGGUCAGGGGCAAACCAGAGGCCUACUAAAACCUUGUUUGUAAUUAACUUUGAUCCAAUACGCACAACUGUUCGCGAUAUAGAAAGACACUUUGAACAAUAUGGAAGGAUUCUUCAUGUCCGAAUUCGACGUAACUUUGCAUUUGUCCAGUUUGAAACUCAGGAGGAUGCUACCAGAGCCCUUGAGGCUACUCACAUGAGAAAGCUAUUAGACAGAGUGGUUUCGGUUGAGUAUGCUUUGAGGGAUGAUGAUGAUAGGGGUGACGGGAGUUACAAUAGCCCUAAAAGAGGAGGUUAUGGUGGGCGUGGGGUUAGUCCUUACCGAAGGUCACCAAGUCCAGUGUAUCGCAGGCGGCCAAGUCCUGACUAUGGUCGUCCUGGCAGCCCUGUUUAUGAUAGGUACAAUGGGCCAACAUAUGACAGGCACAGGGGUCCUGAUUAUGGUAGGAACAGGAGUCCUGAAUUUGGCCGAUACCGAAGCCGAUCACCUGUUAGAAGGUCAAGAACUUGAAAGAGAAACUCCUGGUUCUGGGGAAGGGGUGAAUAUGUAGCUUGGAGAUGUUACUACUAGUUUUAGGUAUUUUCUUUUGUAUGCACAUUGGAUAUUAGGGUUAGCAGUGAUCAUGGAGAAGUUUUUUUUUCCCCUUGAAUUAGUAAUCAUGGAAAAGUUAUUGGAUAUUACUUUUUAGGAUUGACUAUAUUUGUCAAAACUUUUUUGUUUCAAGACCUGAUGUUAUGUCUAAACGUGAUUUGCAUUUACGUUUCAA